AGUGAACGCUGGCGGUAGGCCUAACACAUGCAAGUCGAACGGCAGCACAGGAGAGCUUGCUCUCUGGGUGGCGAGUGGCGGACGGUGAGGAAUACAUCGGAAUCUACUCUGUCGUGGGGGAUAACGUAGGGAAACUUACGCUAAUACCGCAUACGACCUACGGGUGAAAGCAGGGGACCUUCGGGCCUCGCGCGAUUGAAUGAGCCGACGUCGGAUUAGCUAGUUGGCGGGGUAAAGGCCCACCAAGGCGACGAUCCGUAGCUGGUCUGAGAGGAUGAGCAGCCACACUGGAACUGAGACACGGGCCAGAAUCCUACGGGAGGCAGCAGUAGGGAAUAUUGGACAAUGGGCGGAAGCCUGAUCCAGCCAUACCGCGUGGGUGAAGAAGGCCUUCGGGUUGUAAAGCCCUUUUGUUGGGAAAGAAAUCCAGCUGGCUAAUACCCGGUUGGGAUGACGGUACCCAAAGAAUAAGCACCGGCUAACUUCGUGCCAGCCGCCGCAGUAA
rnacentral:rRNA from 1 species